GGAUAACAUACCGAAAGGUAUGCUAAUACGGGAUAAUAUAUUUGAGAGGCAUCUCUUAAAUAUCAAAGGUGAGCCAGUACAGGAUGGACCCGCGUCUGAUUAGCUAGUUGGUAAGGUAACGGCUUACCAAGGCGACGAUCAGUAGCCGACCUGAGAGGGUGAUCGGCCACAUUGGAACUGAGACACGGUCCAAACUCCUACGGGAGGCAGCAGUGGGGAAUGUUGCACAAUGGGCGAAAGCCUGAUGCAGCAACGCCGCGUGAGUGAUGAAGGCCUUCGGGUCGUAAAACUCUGUCCUCAAGGAAGAUAAUGACGGUACUUGAGGAGGAAGCCCCGGCUAACUACGUGCCAGCAGCCGCGGUAAUACGUAGGGGGCUAGCGUUAUCCGGAUUUACUGGGCGUAAAGGGUGCGUAGGCGGUCUUUCAAGUCAGGAGCGAAAGGCUACGGCUCAACCGUAGUAAGCUCUUGAAACUGGGAGACUUGAGUGCAGGAGAGGAGAGUGGAAUUCCUAGUGUAGCGGUGAAAUGCGUAGAUAUUAGGAGGAACACCAGUUGCGAAGGCGGCUCUCUGGACUGUAACUGACGCUGAGGCACGAAAGCGUGGGGAGCAAACAGGAUUAGAUACCCUGGUAGUCCACGCUGUAAACGAUGAGUGCUAGGUGUCGGGGGUUACCCCCUUCGGUGCCGCAG
rnacentral:rRNA from 1 species